rnacentral:rRNA from 1 species
CAGUCGCCGCGGGAAUACGGAGGGUGCAAGCGUUAAUCGGAAUUACUGGGCGUAAAGCGCACGCAGGCGGUCUGACAAGUCAGAUGUGAAAUCCCCGGGCUUAACCUGGGAACUGCAUUUGAAACUGUCAGGCUGGAGUCUUGUAGAGGGGGGUAGAAUUCCAGGUGUAGCGGUGAAAUGCGUAGAGAUCUGGAGGAAUACCGGUGGCGAAGGCGGCCCCCUGGACAAAGACUGACGCUCAGGUGCGAAAGCGUGGGGAGCAAACAGGAUUAGAUACCGUGUAGUCCCUGUCUCUUAUACA